GGGCCGUUAGCUCAGUCGGUAGAGCAACUGACUUUUAAUCAGUAGGUCGCUGGUUCGACCCCAGCACGGCUCACCA
rnacentral:tRNA from 2 species